UAGUGGCGAACGGGUGAGUAACACGUGGGCAAUCUGCCCUUCACUCUGGGACAAGCCCUGGAAACGGGGUCUAAUACCGGAUAACACUCUUGCGGGCAUCUGUGAGGGUUAAAAGCUCCGGCGGUGAAGGAUGAGCCCGCGGCCUAUCAGCUUGUUGGUGAGGUAAUGGCUCACCAAGGCGACGACGGGUAGCCGGCCUGAGAGGGCGACCGGCCACACUGGGACUGAGACACGGCCCAGACUCCUACGGGAGGCAGCAGUGGGGAAUAUUGCACAAUGGGCGAAAGCCUGAUGCAGCGACGCCGCGUGAGGGAUGACGGCCUUCGGGUUGUAAACCUCUUUCAGCAGGGAAGAAGCGANAGUGACGGUACCUGCAGAAGAAGCGCCGGCUAACUACGUGCCAGCAGCCGCGGUAAUACGUAGGGCGCAAGCGUUGUCCGGAAUUAUUGGGCGUAAAGAGCUCGUAGGCGGCUUGUCACGUCGAUUGUGAAAGCCCGAGGCUUAACCUCGGGUCUGCAGUCGAUACGGGCUAGCUAGAGUGUGGUAGGGGAGAUCGGAAUUCCU
rnacentral:rRNA from 3 species